UAGCUCGCGUCUGAUUAGCUAGUUGGAGUGGUAAUGGCACACCAAGGCGACGAUCAGUAGCUGGUCUGAGAGGAUGAUCAGCCACACUGGGACUGAGACACGGCCCAGACUCCUACGGGAGGCAGCAGUGGGGAAUUUUCCGCAAUGGGCGCAAGCCUGACGGAGCAAGACCGCGUGAGGGAGGAAGGCUCUUGGGUUGUAAACCUCUUUUAUCAGGGAAGAAGAUCUGACGGUACCUGAUGAAUCAGCAUCGGCUAACUCCGUGCCAGCAGCCGCGGUAAUACGGAGGAUGCAAGCGUUAUCCGGAUUUAUUGGGCGUAAAGCGUCCGCAGGUGGUUUUUCAAGUCUGCUGUUAAAGCGCGAGGCUUAACCUCGUAACGGCGGUGGAAACUGAGAGACUAGAGUAUGGUAGGGGUAGCGGGAAUUCCCAGUGUAGCGGUGAAAUGCGUAGAUAUUGGGAAGAACACCAGCGGCGAAAGCGCGCUACUGGGCCAUAACUGACACUCAUGGACGAAAGCUAGGGGAGCGAAAGGGAUUAGAUACCCCUGUAGUCCUAGCUGUAAACGAUGGAUACUAGGUGUUGCCCGUAUCGACCCGGGCAGUGCCGUAGCUAACGCGUUAAGUA
rnacentral:rRNA from 1 species